GGGAAGAACAAGAAGAGAAGAACAUUAAGAGAAGGCCGGAUGGUGUCUGUACAGACCUCAGACCGGCCAGAUCAAAGUGACAAUGACUGGUAAUCCAGGGGUGGAAUGUAACUAAGUACAUUUACUUAGCUCAGAGAUCCACUACUGCCAGGAUGAGAGGACAGGAUCUGCUCCACUUUUCCCUGUCUGUCAGGGACAGAGUCGCUCCUCAGACUGCCUUCACAUUUGUGCCCAGUCACAGACAUUAUCUCCCUACUCUCCAGAGCAGCCUGAGACAGCAGUUGGACAGCGGUGCUGCGCAGACUGUGGUUUGUAUACAUCCUUGAGACACCUUUGCCCCAGGAAAUUGUGUCCCAUGGGCUCUCGAGAGUACCAAGACAUCCUGCUGGUUAAGCAGCUGCUGGUCCUUUUUCAAUGGAUGCAGGUAGAAUGCGUCUGUGUCAGGGGGUCAAAGGGAGAUGUACUUUUUAAAACUGGCAAUGGGGCAAUUUGGGUUGUCAGUUUCAGCAAAAAUAUAGCCACGAUAAUUCUCCUUGCAGGGAUCUCUGGCAUCUUUAUGGGUUGACAGGUUUUUCUCCACUAACCAGUAUUUCAAAACGGACAUGGCCCAUACCGUGCUCCUUUUUGUGUUCAAUUCGUGUCGAUCCUGUUGUGCCGUUUUGCCUCUCCCUCUUCGCUACUUUCCUUAUUUUUCUUUUUUUCACCGGUGACGACAACUCAGCCUUUAGCCAAGACUCAAAGUCACCAUCUUUUCCAAAAAUAUUGAAGUUGAUUUCAAACUCGUCCAUAGUAGCCUAGGAGUAAGUUUUUCUGAUAUAAAGUAACAUUAGGUUAACUGCCACAGAAUUACAGCUGUUCAGCCGACGUUGCUAAGCGACUGAAGACGCUGAGGUGAUAAGUGACCGGACCACUUGCAGAGCAAAGUCUGUAGAGCGCAGAGUGAUACGAAAUACAUGAAUCAAAGGGUGGCGACUGUAACACACAAGCUGCAGAAAGUACACUUCCCCUCUAAAGCGAAUAAUCUCAUAUCCCGUUCGCUGUGGAGCAACUCUCUACUUCAGGCUGCGGCUACAGUAACGUUACACACAACCGAUCAAAUAUUUAUGAAAAUCUUGAUAUUGAUUUGGGGACAAUGACAUGUCUGGUUAGCUUGUUGGUCUUGUUAGCUAGCAGCAUACUGUCAAAUUAUAUUUACUGUUUGUCAACAGUACGGAAUGUUAUUGACCUUGAAUCUUGCUAGCAUAGCGUUAGCUCUCUGGCUCAUCGCUGAGCAGACUAGAAUAUCUCCCGUUGCCAAGUAGUAUCUAUGGUCCGUCCUAUUUUCUGGAGGAGUGAACAACGUCUCCAUUGCACAAGAACCUUACGGGCAGGUAAUGAUUGUUCCAGGUAUUAGUCAAACCCUCAGGUGUUACCAGGGAAACAAAGUUACAGCUUGUGAAAAACAUUAUAUUUUGAUUGUUAAACGCAUGAAAAUAUAUAUUAAUGGUCUGAGUUUCUUUUGUAAUUGACCAUGGUGACGCUGCACGUCGGAUGGUUCUUGGGCCUCCGCGUUGUCCAUUAACUCCUGAUUAUGGACACA